rnacentral:misc_RNA from 1 species
AAGUCGUAACAAGGUUUCCGUAGGUGAACCUGCGGAAGGAUCAUUACCGAGUGAGGGCCCUCUGGGUCCAACCUCCCACCCGUGUUUAUCGUACCUUGUUGCUUCGGCGGGCCCGCCGCAAGGCCGCCGGGGGGCUUCCGUCCCCGGGUCCGUGCCCGCCGAAGACACCUGUGAACGCUGUAUGAAGAUUGCAGUCUGAGCGAAAAGCUAAAUUUAUUAAAACUUUCAACAACGGAUCUCUUGGUUCCG